GACAAAAAUCUCAUUUGAAUAUGGGAUAACAACACUUCUCCCAUCAUUCAUGAAGGCUGAGGAGACAGAGACUUGGGAGGAGGAAGAAAAAUAAUAUGGCGGAUACAAGGUUUAUGGAAGGUGAGG